UGCGGAAGGAUCAUUAAUGAAUCAAAUUCGGUCUUCUGUGCUGGUGGCAACACAUGUGCACGUCGAUCGUAAUUCCAUCCUCCUCCCAACCGUCCAUGUGUGUGUUUGGUCGACCUUUUGGUCGAAGAGUUGGUGCCCUCGGGCUCRAUUCGUUCCAGAUGCACCUUGGUUAUUUCACCCACUCUGGGUAUCAGAAACAAAGAACAUUUUAUAUAAACUAUACAACUUUCAACAACGGAUCUCUUGGCUCUCGCAUCGAUGAAGAACGCAGCGAAAUGCGAUAAGUAAUGUGAAUUGCAGAAUUCAGUGAAUCAUCGAAUCUUUGAACGCACCUUGCACCCUUUGGUAUUCCGAAGGGUACGCCCGUUUGAGUGUCAUUGUACUCUCAAUCCCACKACUUUAUGUGGUGUGAUUGGACUUGGAUCUCGUCGCAGUCUGUGACCGAUCCGAAAUGCAUCAGCGUGUGUCCGUCGUGACGAUAAACCGAUUGUUAAACUUCAUCGGGCUCGCUCUGUCGAGGUUGUCUGGCGAAAGCACAUGCUAAACCCCCCUACAUUUUGACAAUUUGACCUCAAAUCGGGUGGGAUCACCCGCUGAACUUAAGCAUAUCAAUAAGCGGAGGAAAAGAAACUAACAAGGAUUCCCCUAGUAACGGCGAGUGAAGAGGGAAAAGCUCAAAUUUUGAAUCUGGUGCCUUUGGCCCCCGAGUUGUAAUCUAGAGAAGUGUUUUCCGUAGCGGACCGUGUAAAAGUUCCCUGGAACGGGACGUCAUAGAGGGUGAGAAUCCCGUACAUGCCACGGACUACCGUUGCUCUGUGAUACACUCUCAACGAGUCGAGUUGUUUGGGAAUGCAGCUCAAAAUGGGUGGUAAAUUCCAUCUAAAGCUAAAUAUUGGCGAGAGACCGAUAGCGAACAAGUACCGUGAGGGAAAGAUGAAAAGCACUUUGGAAAGAGAGUGAAACAGUACGUGAAAUUGUUGAAAGGGAAGCGUUUGGAGUCAGUCGCGUCUGGYGGGAUUCAGCCUUGCUUCUGCUUGGUGUAUUUCCUGUCCGAUGGGUCAGUGUCGAUUUUGACUGAGGGAGAAAGGCUUGGGGAAUGUGGCCGUCUUCGGGCGGUGUUAUAGCCCCUUGUUGUAUGUCUCAGUUGGGAUCGAGGAACGCAGCGUGCC
rnacentral:rRNA from 1 species